GUCAUGAUACCGCACUGUAUUUACAGUCCGUUUGAGGAUUCCGUCAUUUUGUGACUUUGUCAUACUACAUCAUACUAUAGUGGGCUGACGAUCUUUAGAUCACAUCCAACACUAAGUAAUUCUGCAUUGAUAACUCCAUCAUUUUUAUCAUCUUUGCACCAGGUUGCAUGAUGCAUUAAUGAUAUAAAAAUACAUUUUGA
rnacentral:lncRNA from 1 species